GAUUAACGCUGGCGGCGUGCAUAACACAUGCAAGUCGAACGAUGAAACUCAUUAGAUUUCUUCGGAAUGAAAAUGAAUGGAUUAGUGGCGAACGGGUGAGUAACGCGUGAGUAACCUGCCUUACACAAGGGGAUAGCCUCUGGAAACGGAGAAUAAUACCCUAUGAAACCAGACAAUCGCAUGAUAAUCUGGUCAAAAUGUUUAGUGGUGUAAGAUGGACUUGCGUCUGAUUAGCUAGUUGGUGAGAUAAAAGCUCACCAAGGCAACGAUCAGUAGCCGGCUUGAGAGGGUGUACGGCCACAUUGGGACUGAGACACGGCCCCGACUCCUACGGGAGGCCGCAGUGGGGAAUUUUGCCCAAUGGGGGAAACCCCGAUGCAGCGACGCCGCGUGAUUUAGAAGGCCUUCGGGUUGUAAAAAUCUUUUGUAUAGGAAGAAAAUGACAGUACUAUACGAAUAAGGUCCGGCUAAUUACGUG
rnacentral:rRNA from 1 species